rnacentral:rRNA from 1 species
GACGAACGCUGGCGGCGUGCUUAACACAUGCAAGUCGAACGGAAAGGCCCUGCUUUUGUGGGGUGCUCGAGUGGCGAAAGGGUGAGUAACACGUGAGUAACCUGCCCUUGACUUUGGGAUAACUUCAGGAAACUGGGGCUAAUACCGGCUAGGAGCUCUUGCUGCUUGGUGGGCGUUGGAACGUUUCGGCGUUUUGGGAUGGUCUCUAGGCUUCUCAGCUUGUUUGGGGGGUUGUGGCCUUCCAAGGCUUUGACGGGUAGGCGGCCUGGGAGGGUGACCGGCCACAUUGGGACUGAGAUACGGCCCAGACUGCUACAGGAGGCAGCAGUGGGGAAUAUUGCACAAUAGGCGGAAGCCUGAUGCAGCAACGCCGCGUGCGGGAUGACGGCCUUCGGGUUGUAAACCGCUUUGGCCUGUGACGAAGCGUGAGUGACGGUAAUGGGUAAAGAAGCACCGGCUAACUACGUG